AACGAACGCUGGCGGCACGCUUAACACAUGCAAGUCGAACGGAAUUUAGAGCUUGCUCUAAAUUUAGUGGCAUACGGGUGAGUAACGCGUGGGAACCUAGCCAUGGGUGGGGAAUAACCGGUGGAAACACCAGCUAAUACCGCAUAAGCCUGAAAAGGGAAAGAUUUAUCGCCGAUGGAUGGGCCCGCGUUAGAUUAGGUAGUUGGUGAGGUAAAAGCUCACCAAGCCGAUGAUCUAUAGCUGGUCUGAGAGGAUGAUCAGCCACACUGGGACUGAGACACGGCCCAGACUCCUACGGGAGGCAGCAGUGGGGAAUAUUGGACAAUGGGGGAAACCCUGAUCCAGCGAUGCCGCGUGAGUGAAGAAGGCCUUAGGGUUGUAAAACUCUUUUAGUAGGGAAGAUGAUGACGGUACCUACAGAAAAAGCUCCGGCUAACUCCGUGCCAGCCGCCGCCGUAAAAC
rnacentral:rRNA from 1 species